CAGAGAGACAAGCCCCAAUGGUGCAAGCACCUAUCAAGCUCUGCUUGUAUUGCAAUUGAUAUUACCUUCGAGCAGGUCUUAGAGCCAAGCCCAAAAUUGAAGUAAAGGGAGACUCUACAUAGAAGGAUUGUUCUCUGAAGAGAUCAUACUCACAGUGGAAUGACUUCACCAAAGGAUAUGAAUUUGUAUCAGCCUGUCCGCUAACUUGGCUAGUGAAAAUUGUGACCCUUCACCAGAUGAAAACUCUCAUCGACUUAAUUUAAUAAAAGAGGAAGCUCGUUCCCUCAUUUUUCAUA